AAAAAAAAAAAAUAAAGAAAGGAAGAUAGUCUACUGGUGUAACUGGGUCAUUUAUGUGAAAGUUAUUUGAACAGAUAAUAUAUACAUACUCAUAGUACAGAAUUGAAAAAGUUUACAUGAAAAGUUGUUCUCUCACUCCUUCUCCUUCAAAUGUCCAAGUCCCCUUCCCAGAGACAGUUGUUACCCAUUUUCUUAAGUGUUCUUCUAGAGAUUUUCCAUGCAUUUACAAAGGUAUACAUAUGCAUAUUAUUUUUAUUGCACAAAUGAUUGCACCUUAAACAUACUGUCCUGCACUUUGCUGUGAAAAUGACAAAUAACUUGGGGAUUAUGCCAUAUGAUUUCAUGUUAGUGUAUACUGUGACUCAUCAUUCUUUUAAAUAGCAUAUUCCAUUGUUUCUCUUUACGAGACCGUAUUUAACAUGUCCUCUGUGGAGACGUAUAGAUUCUUUCUGGUCUUUUGCUAAUGUAAACAAAGCUACAGCAUAUAUCUUGUUACAUGUUACUUUGUAUGUGUGUUUCAGUAUAUCUAUAGAGUAAAUAUAUGAAAUUCUGGAGUUAAAGUAUGUAUUAAUUUAAAAGUUUAAUAAAUAUUGUCAAAUUAUAUUCCCAAGUGGUGUAUUCUAGUUGUCUCUUGCUAUAUAUCAAACUACUGCAUAUUUAGUGACUUAUUAUUAUCUCUCACUGUUCUAGGGGUUGAUGGGCUCAGCUGGGUGAUUUCUGCUUGACGUUUCCUAUAUACCUGCAUUUGGAUGGCUGCUGAGGGAAGAGUCAUCUGAAUACCUUUCCCUCACAUGUUAAGCACCUGGGCUAGAACAGCUAUGGAGUGAGAACAAAAAGUUUUCAGCCAGCUUUUAUUUACCUUAAAAUAGGACUUCUCUACAUGCCCACCAGCAUGUCCCAGACAUAUCACAGAAGCUGUGAAAAGCCACGGACAUAAAGAGGCCAUGCAGAGAGGAACAGUGGCCAGGUAAUGUCUAUGAACAGAUGGUCAAUGACCAGAAGGACUUCUUCAAUGCCUUAGCCCUGUGUAGAAAAUCCCUAAACUAUGACUCAUCAGGAGGUGAGGUGACAAGAAGUAGAAACCCUCAAUAUAAAUUUCUGCCAGCCCUGCAGAAUAAGGGCUGUGAAUAUAGCACAUUAAAUCAUGUGGUAGACUUCACUGGUCUACAUACACUCUGCUGUAAAAUAUAGAAAUAUUUCCAUUUAUUCAAUAAGUGUUUUAUUUAGUACAUAUUUUUUUGAUAGCCACUGAAAUAGCAGACAUGGUUUCUACUUGUGGGACUCUAACAGGCCAGGAAUUAAAUAAAUCAUCAUACUAUCACCUGCUUAGUUAUAAUAAUGAAAAAUACCAUGAAGGACAAGUAAAAGGUGUGCUGAGGCAUUAUAACAGAGACCUAAUCUAGACCAGGAGCUCAGAUAACCUCUUUGACAAAAUGAUGCUGAGGGAGAGAGGCAGCUUUUCAGAAAAAGUGUCCAAAGAGAGGUACACUUUUUACGAUUUUGAAGUCGAUGAGGACAGUGAUGGAGUUGGACUAUGUUUCAUAAGAAGUUGUUGUGGAAAUAACAUAUUUUUCUUUUGAAUUAAAAGGUUUAACCGCUAAAAACUAGAAAUUUUAGUUUAGCAAAUGAAUAUGGAAGAAAAUAAUACAAGUGUCUUGCAAAAAAUGCUUCUACAAUAAUUUUUUAGUGAUUGUUCUAAUAGCCCAAAUUCAAAACUACCUAAAUAUCCCACGGUAGUGAAUUAUUUAAAUAAAUAUGGUACAAAUACCCAGUAGAGUAUUAUUCAGCUUUACAAAUGUGUUUGUAGGUAAUUGAUUAAUUGAUUAUACGAAAAAGAGCUGAAAAUAAUAAUAUCCUAUUUUAUGAAAAAAUUUAAUACAGAGAUGUAUGUUGACAUAGAAAAUCAGAUAACUAAGAUUACUUCUGAGCAGUAAGGUCAUUUUCUUCAUUUAGCAUGUCUGAAUUUUCUAAUUUUUCUCCAAAGUUUUGUACCAAGGGAAAAAAUGAGAAGAGUACAUCUUAAUUUUAAAAAGUCAUUAAACCUGUAAUAUUUUGCCUGGGUAUAAAAAGUCUUGGUUGUAGAGGUCAUAAGACCGGGGAAAAGAAGGUGGUAGCUGGGGAGGACUUGUGUCCGUGUUUAUAUUCAACACCUUCCCUGAGAACAAGAAAAGAGACUUUUUAACCCUCUGCCAAAAGGCAGAAUCAGAAUAAAAGUAUGAUGUUAUACAGCAGGAAAUACCACUUCUGAAGAAGAGUUUCUCUGGCGGAAGCAGAGACAUCCGAUGGGAUGAGACUGCCUGAACACAGGGUGGGAUCCCCUUCCUGCUAUGUGAACAGCACAACUGCCCUAGAAGGCACAGGGAUCAGAGGUGGCAUGAGGGACUUCUGUGUAGAUCCUGUGCGUCAGGAAUUUGAAAGGACCACAGAAGAAUGGCUUGCCUAUUCUGUCUGGGACCUCAGCUGGGGACAUUUGAAGGCUGCCACCUUUAGGGCAGCUGAGAUGGCCAAACAGGGAACUGCAGUGUGUGACAGGAGGGGAUUUUAAGAACAUUAGAGCAGAGGGAGUUAGCAACAUAGCAGAAUACAUCGAGACCUAUGUCAAGAACUACGGAACUGCCGCUUUUGACAGCUGCUUCCCCAACCAGAACCAGAUCAGGAACUGCUGGCAGAACUACCCAGACUUCUACCACUGUGAAAAGGUAAUGAUGGCUGAAGAGAGGGAUGUCUCUGUGUGCAAACGGGAGUGGGAAUGUGUACAAGUCCCCCAGCUUCAUAUCCUGGGUCUCAACCUGGGGUGACCACAGAGCAGAAGCCACAAUUCCUGGAAGGAUGAGAAUGGGUUCUGCCCCACCUUUCCUCUGCCCUAAGUCCUUCUCCCAGGGCGAUAAAGGGAGACUUGGGUACAUAGUGAGCUCAUCCUGGGACCCUGAAUCAUGACUUAACUGAUAAUAAAAACUUACUGGAAGAGUGGGGAAAAAGUCAUAACAUGAAGGAUUAGAGGAGAGAUUUGCAGUUGUCUUAAAGAAAUAGGCUACUUUCCUCCUGAGGUAGAGUUCAGCUUCUUCCACUUUUCUGCUGUGUGCACUAUGCCAAAUGCAGCAAGACAUAGAGACAUGGAUGUGCCUCAACACAUCCAGUAAGUUGAGACAAAACCUCAAGUUGCAAAUGGAUAUGAACAGUGUAGUUUCAUAUGAAAUGACAUCACUGUAGUUUUAUGAAAUGACAUCAUUAUGUAUGGAUAUAUUCAUAUGUAGUCAGAUUUGUAAAAACUACUUGGAAAUGAUUCAUAUUUACCUCAGGAUAGUUGUUUAAUCUGAGGAGAAAAAAGGUGGUGAUGAUGAGAGAAAGAUGAGGAGAAGAAGCUUUCCUUCUAUUUAUAGUGUUUUAUUUCUUAAAAUCUCAAAGAGGCUGGCAUAGUGGUGCACACCUGUAAUCCCAGCAUUUAGGGAGGCC